UCCAACCAGACAGUUGGGUUUGUGAGUAGAACAUAUGCUAAUACUUUAGGUUCGUAAACAGUGGAUUCGUAUGAGCAAGCGUCUUGAGUGGCUCAGUGUGAUUGGAUUUUUAUGAUGUCUGUGGACCUGCAGGCGAACCGCUGGGCACCUCCCCCAGGACCCGCAGGAAGAAGACAAAUGUCACAGAAACAGAGAGAGAGCAUGAUCAUCCUCUUUUAAAACAGUCUAUAGGGGAAGCUCUAUUCCGCUGGUCAAAGUCUAGAAUUUCACCUUUGGAUGCCACUACUGUAUAUCCUGCACACUCUCUCUUUUGAAUCUUAAGAAAUGUCUUCACUCUGAAGGACUUUACUUUUGUGCACAUCACAUACCAAGAAACAUUCCAAGUGCUGUCCAGUCACUGUAGCAUCAACUUAACUGCUUGUGAUUAGGGGAUUUUUUUACACACUGCAUGUAUUUGAAUGCACUAAGAAAUGCAUUGUGUAAGAAAUGAGUUUUCAUUUAGACUACAGUGAAUUUGGGCAUAGACCCGAGGUUUUAGUAUUGUGUUUUAUAAUGAUGUUACCGUACUUCAGUGAAUUCAAAAUCUUCCUGGUGUACAUCAUUACUGCACAGCAUGUCACUCCGAUAUUGGUUUUCAGUCUUUACAGCUCACACGUUUGCAAGCUACGAUUCACUUUGCCAGUUGAUUCCAGUCCCUCAGCAGUAACAUCAUUUUGUUAUUAGUCCUCUGUGUAACAAUCUGAAUUAUAAUAAAAGCAUGAAAAGCUGGAUUUCUAAUCAAAUGCAA